rfam:Kangiella koreensis DSM 16069, complete genome.
GGGGACGAUUUGGAUUCGACGUGGAUUACGAAACUCCAGGUGCAUGCCGAGAUGUCAGCGAAUCUCGUAAAAUCAAAGCUGAAACUUAAUAGUUGCAAACGAAGACAACUACGCUUUAGCCGCUUAAGGCUAACUGUCUACUCUGAGCGUCCUUGGUAGGAGCUAGACAGUCAAUACAGGGACUCGCAGGUAACUGUGCUCGGCAGCCAACUGUUAAACUUUCCUCGAGACCGUCUUUGAAUGCCUGCCCAUCGGCACGUCAAAGAUUAAAAUAAUGAUGGACCUAAGCAUGUAGACCCUCGAGCAGAGGAUUCGCGGACGCGGGUUCAAUUCCCGCCGUCUCCACCA